rnacentral:tRNA from 1 species
GGGGGAUUAGCUCAGCGGGAGAGCAUCGGCUUUGCAAGCCGGGGGUCAAGGGUUCGAUCCCCUUAUCCUCCA